CUGAGUUGUUCGCUCUUCGGCGACUCGGAUACGAAUGAGGCGCGCAGGCGCCACCUGGCGGUCACAAGGCGAUGGCCAACUCUUGCUGUGACACAGCGACACCCAGCGUUCAACAGUUUCUGGAACCAUCCUCGUGAGCGUGAGCAGCACGUCCACUGGUCCCUGCUGUACCAAUAAAGAUGCCCUCGGUACGUGUCCUUCAAGCCGCAAUCACCACCUCGGCGGAAGUGAAAAGGACCAAGACACUUAUUCCUAUAAAGACGUUUCAGACUGUGUCAAAAUUAUCAAAUGUUGCCCCGGAACAUACUCAGUGGCCGCCUUGCACUUCCCACAGAAGAAGCCAUUGAGCAGAUUUGUCUCGUGUCAUCGUUGACUGUGGGAGAUGAAUACAGAAGCCACCCAGUUAGAAGCCACCAGGGCACAGCACAAGACCUAAAUUGCACCCCUAUGACGACAACAACUCUGUAUUUUAUACAAUUAUAUGAUAAAUAACCUGGUA